UGUGGUGCACUUGCUCGUCUUACUGUGUGUAGUCUGGAAUACUUACUUGUGGUCAAAGUGGAUACAACCACAGAGUUACCACCUGAACCUGUCUCCAGUGGCCCACCCAAUAUGUUGAACUGAAACGUAGAGUGAAAAGCCGCCUGUGAGACUCGCCCCUUUUCAAAAGCGCGCUGGGAAAGGCGGAAGCAGAACACUACGCCGCUGGGCAGGUGAGCUACUGUUGACUCAUCACACUCGACAACCUGUCCUCCCUGCUGCUGUCUCUCCCUGUGCUGGUUAGGAAGGAAUUGUGCUC